CUUUGUCCAAGGAGGCUGCGAAUGGCUGCGUCUCCCACAGCCUGUCUCCUCUGCUCCGGAGAGCCCAGAUCUCCAUGCAGGGUCAAAAGCAAAGGCAGGGGAAAUGCUGCGUGUGCUUGGUGACAAACACAUCGUUCUCAAAGAAUUAAAGAAUGCAUGUGUAGGAAAUGUUAUCGUAGGGUGGCACUAGUGGCAAGGGGGCACAGUCACGGAUGUCGCUGCCAUCAGGUCUGAGUUGGCCUCUGCACCCUCUGGAAGGACUGGAAAGCAUAUCUGAAAGGAGUCAGGCCACACUGCUAUGAAGACCCAGCGUGUGACCAUGGAGACCGUCACUUUCCAGGGUGUGUGUAUGAACAUCUGCAGGCAGAAAUAGGAAGCGGCUGCUCAUAACUGAAGCUGCAAAACUUCUGUGAAAGCAUCCACAGGCCAACAUGGCAGCUCCACAUGUGACGUCAUCAGGCCACUAAAGGGAAUGAGAAGGUGCCACAGAGACGGACAGAAGAGAAUAGAAAAGGUAACAGCAAACAGCUACAGAGUUGGUGGCUGGACUUGGCGUUUUUCUGGAAGAUCUGGAAGUCUGAAACCCAGGAGUUUGCAAGGCUGGUACUUGAUGGAGAAUGGGAAAGGGUCCCUGUCCCAUAUUUCUCUCUGGUGUCUGCUGGCUGCUGACAAUCCUAGCACCCCUUUGAUCUGUACCCUCAACAUUCCAGCAUCCCUACAUCUGCACUGUGGCCUUCUCUGUGCCAAAGCUUUCUCUUCUUUCCCUUGCAAAUACAACUGCUAAGGCCCACACUUAGCCCAGGAUGACCUCAUCCAGAGACUCUUGGCUUUAGAACAUUGGGAAGAUCCUAUUUCUAAGUGAGUUCAUGUUCACACAUAUUUGGGUUUAGUAUGUGAACAUCUUCUUUUGGAGAGAAACACAGUUCAACCUACUAUGAAGACUCAACGAAUGCCAUUGGGAAAAGCAUGGGCUACUGCUACAACCAAGGAUAGUCACUGCCAGCGGAAGAUGAGGCAACAGCAAUGCAAUCUUAGAGCUUAUUUUAGAGGACAAUGGUCUCAUAGAAAGUCUGUUUGUGUUGGACAUAGAGGUACUAAGAAUGAAGGACUCCAACCCUGGCAUUUGAAUGUCUGAGAACUCCUGAGAUAUCCUCCUGAUAGUCUACUCCGCCCACUAACAUCUGUGGAUCCCAGUAGGAAAGACUUUUGUAUGCUGGCUGGUAUUUCAAAUGCUGCAGCUCCUAGCCUGCAGUUCAUGGAGUUGCCCAACAUAGCUCCCCAAAAAGAACUCCCAAAAAGUCCAACAAAACAGACAAAAGCAAGCUAACCCUACCUUGUCCCUCUUUGUUCUUCAAAGUCCUAUGUGGUCUUGUCUUUCUGGGAAUCCCACCUGCUGUGAGUUCUCAAUAAACUUUCACUGGUAAAU
rnacentral:lncRNA from 1 species